rnacentral:rRNA from 1 species
GACGAACGCUGGCGGCGUGCUUAACACAUGCAAGUCGAACGGUAAGGCCCUUCGGGGUACACGAGUGGCGAACGGGUGAGUAACACGUGGGUGAUCUGCCCUGCACUUCGGGAUAAGCCUGGGAAACUGGGUCUAAUACCGGAUAGGACCACUGCCUGCAUGGGUGGUGGUGGAAAGCUUUUGCGGUGUGGGAUGGGCCCGCGGCCUAUCAGCUUGUUGGGGGGGUGAUGGCCUACCAAGGCGACGACGGGUAGCCGGCCUGAGAGGGUGACCGGCCACACUGGGACGAAGAUACGGCCCAGCAGCCUACGGGAGGCAGCAGUGGGGAAUAUUGCACAAUGGGCGCAAGCCUGAUGCAGCGACGCCGCGUGGGGGAUGACGGCCUUCGGGUUGUAAACCUCUUGCAGCACCGACGAAGCGCAAGUGACGGUAGGUGCAGAAGAAGGACCGGCCAACUACGUGCCAGCAGCCGCCGUAA